CCUACGGGAGGCAGCAGUAAGGAAUCUUCCACAAUGGACGAAAGUCUGAUGGAGCAACGCCGCGUGCAGGAUGAAGGCUUUCGGGUCGUAAACUGCUUUUAUAUGGGAAGAUUAUGACGGUACCAUAUGAAUAAGGACCGGCUAACUACGUGCCAGCAGCCGCGGUAAUACGUAGGGUCCAAGCGAUAUUCGGAAUUACUGGGCGUAAAGCGUGUGUAGGUGGAUUAAUAAGUGUGAUGCGAAAUCCGGCGGCUCAACCGUUUGGACUGUGUCGCAUACUGUUAGUCUAGAGGACGGCAGAGGUAAGUGGAAUUACGGGUGUAGCAGUGAAAUGCGUAGAUAUCCGUAGGAACACCAAUGGCGAAGGCAGCUUACUGGGCCACACCUGACACUGAGACACGAAAGCGUGGGGAGCGAACAGGAUUAGAUACCCUGGUAGUCCACGCCGUAAACGAUGCAUACUAUUAGUAUGGGGUAUCGACCCCCUGUGCUGAGAAGCUAACGCGAUAAGUAUGCCGCCUGGGGAGUACGAGCGCAAGCUUAAAACNCAAAUGAAUUGACCGGNUGAGACGNGCGACGACGACGACGAGGGAGAGG
rnacentral:rRNA from 1 species